rnacentral:rRNA from 1 species
CCUACGGGGUGCAGCAGGCGCGAAAACUUCACAAUGGGGGCAACCCCGAUGAGGGAAUUCCUAGUGCUAGCACAUUUGUGUUAGCUUUUCUUUAGCUUAGAAAACUAGAGGAAUAAGGGCUGGGUAAGACGGGUGCCAGCCGCCGCGGUAAUACCUGCAGCCCAAGUGGUGGUCGAUUUUAUUGAGUCUAAAACGUUCGUAGCCGGUUCGGUAAAUCUUUGGGUAAAUCGGGGGGCUUAACCUCCCGACUUCCGAGGAGACUGCCGAACUUGGGACCGGGAGAGGCUAGAGGUACUUCUGGGGUAGGGGUAAAAUCCUGUAAUCCUAGAAGGACCACCGGUGGCGAAGGCGUCUAGCUAGAACGGAUCCGACGGUGAGGGACGAAGCCCUGGGUCGCAAACGGGAUUAGAUACCCACGUAGUCC